ACACAGACCAGGUUAUCAACAAGUCACACCAGUGUAAGCCUACACCAGACACAGACCAGGUUAUCAACAAGUCACACCAGUGUAAGCCUACACCAGACACAGACCAGGUUAUCAACAAGUCACACCAGUGUAAGCCUACACCAGACACAGACCAGGUUAUCACCAGACACAGACCAGGUUAUCAACAAGUCACACCAGUGUAAGCCUACACCAGACACAGACCAGGUUAUCAACAAGUCACACCAGUGUAAGCCUACACCAGACACAGACCAGGUUAUCAACAAGUCACACCAGUGUAAGCCUACACCAGACACAGACCAGGUUAUCAACAAGUCACACCAGUGUAAGCCUACACCAGACACAGACCAGGUUAUCAACAAGUCACACCAGUGUAAGCCUACACCAGACACAGACCAGGUUAUCAACAAGUCACACCAGUGUAAGCCUACACCAGACACAGACCAGGUUAUCACCAGACACAGACCAGGUUAUCAACAAGUCACACCAGUGUAAGCCUACACCAGACACAGACCAGGUUAUCAACAAGUCACACCAGUGUAAGCCUACACCAGACACAGACCAGGUUAUCAACAAGUCACACCAGUGUAAGCCUACACCAGACACAGACCAGGUUAUCAACAAGUCACACCAGUGUAAGCCUACACCAGACACAGACCAGGUUAUCAACAUGUCACACCAGUGUAAGCCUACACCAGACACAGACCAGGUUAUCAACAAGUCACACCAGUGUCAGCCUACACCAGACACAGACCAGGUUAUCAACCAGUCACCAGACACAGACCAGGUUAUCAACAAGUCACACCAGUGUAAGCCUACACCAGACACAGACCAGGUUAUCACCAUGUCACACCAGUGUAAGCCUACACCAGACACAGACCAGGUUAUCAACAAGUCACACCAGUGUAAGCCUACACCAGACACAGACCAGGUUAUCACCAUGUCACACCAGUGUAAGCCUACACCAGACACAGACCAGGUUAUCAACAAGUCACACCAGUGUAAGCCUACACCAGACACAGACCUUGAAUAAAAGGAGUUCCAAAAUCCCAGAUGGAAAAAUGAAUUGUCAAAAAAACAAUUGGAACCAUUUCUGGGUUUUAUGACUCAUACUGUCGUACUCAAUACUUGAUAACUUUGUGCU